rnacentral:rRNA from 1 species
GACAGAGGGUGCAAACGUUGUUCGGAAUUACUGGGCGUAAAGCGUGUGUAGGCGGCCACGUAAGUCGGAUGUGAAAGCCCCAGGCUCAACCUGGGAAGUGCACUCGAUACUGCGUGGCUUGAGUAUCGGAGAGGUUGGUGGAAUUCUCGGUGUAGAGGUGAAAUUCGUAGAUAUCGAGAGGAACACCGGUGGCGAAGGCGGCCAACUGGACGAAUACUGACGCUGAGGAGCGAAAGCCAGGGGAGCAAACGGG